GAUGAACGCUGGCGGCGUGCCUAACACAUGCAAGUCGAGCGAUCUCUUCGGAGAGAGCGGCGGACGGGUGAGUAACGCGUGGGUAACCUGCCCUGUACACACGGAUAACAUACCGAAAGGUAUACUAAUACGGGAUAAUAUAUGAAAGUCGCAUGGCUUUUGUAUCAAAGCUCCGGCGGUACAGGAUGGACCCGCGUCUGAUUAGCUGGUUGGUAAGGUAAUGGCUUACCAAGGCAACGAUCAGUAGCCGACCUGAGAGGGUGAUCGGCCACACUGGUACUGAGACACGGUCCAGACUCCUACGGGAGGCAGCAGUGGGGAAUGUUGCACAAUGGGCGAAAGCCUGAUGCAGCAACGCCGCGUGGGCGAUGAAGGCCUUCGGGUCGUAAAGCUCUGUCCUCAAGGAAGAUAAUGACGGUACGUGAGGAGGAAGCCCCGGCUAACUACGUGCCAGCCGCCGCGGUAA
rnacentral:rRNA from 1 species